ACUCAAAUGAAUAGACGGGGGCCCGCACAAGCGGUGGAGCAUGUGGCUUAAUUCGAUGCAACGCGAAGAACCUUACCUGGGUUUGACAUGUGACUGGAUGCUGGUCGAAAGAUCGGAGGCCUUCGAGGCUGUCACACAGGUGCUGCAUGGCUGUCGUCAGCUCGUGCCGUGAGGUGUUAGGUUAAGUCCUGCAACGAGCGCAACCCCUGUGAAUAGUUGCCAUGGCGCAAGCCGGGAACUCUAUUCAGACUGCCUGUGAUAAGCAGGAGGAAGGUGGGGAUGACGUCAAGUCAGUAUGGUCCUUAUAUCCAGGGCUGCACACGUGCUACAAUGACGAGUACAGAGGGAAGCGAAGCCGCGAGGUGAAGCAAAUCCCCGAAAACUUGUCCCAGUUCAGAUUGGAGUCUGCAACUCGACUCCAUGAAGCCGGAAUCGCUAGUAAUGGCGCAUCAGCUACGGCGCCGUGAAUACGUUCCCGGGCCUUGCACACACCGCCCGU
rnacentral:rRNA from 1 species